UUUUGGUAUAAAAAUAAAAAUAAAUAAAAAUAGUGUGAGGAACUAUUUUUAUUGGAUUUGUAGAAGUAAAACAUAAGUCAGAAGUGACUUGUGCUGAAAUCGGAAUGAAAACAGAAGAUUUAGAAUUUUCUGUUGGAAACGGGACAGAUAAAUUAGCAGAAAAUGCACAGUCUCAGAAAAUUAUGAAAAUUGGCGGGGAUGUCAGUAAUAUUUUAAUGAGGCUAGAUUUAAAGUUUCAUAUUUUUCUGACAUCCGUAGAGUGAGAAAUAAAAUCCGAAGGCUAUCUGAUAAAGAUUGCAGUUCGGCACAAUUUUCGGUGACCAAACGGGGUCGAAACCGAAAACUUAAGAUAUAUUCUUGUUCAGUACGUUAAAUCGAACAUAACUGUCAAAUUUGAGUUAAAACGGACAUCCAGAAGGGCUCCGACGAAAAAUAAACUGCCCGAAGUGAAUAGUGCAUAGUUGAGGGGCAAAAUGGUAAAAAGGGAUUAAAUCCCUUUUCCUCCUUCCUUCUUCAACC
rnacentral:lncRNA from 1 species